AUCAAUCAUCAUCACAAAAAAGGUACAAUAAACUACAUAAUAUGAAACCCUUGGUGGUGCUGAAUCUCACGAUGAAGUUUGGGAUGGUCAAUUCAAAAAUAUUAAAUGCAUUAACUUGAUUUUUCAGAAAAAAAUAUUUCAGAAUUACUUGAUGCAUUGUCCUGAAGAGCACCAAAUAUCGAAGAAAGGGAGGUGCACUUAUCGACCGAAGAAUCAAAUAAAUUACGCACACAAUACUUGGCGAUAUUCACAUUAAACUGUACCCAGAAGAAUGCUCAAAAACUAUGGAGAACCUCACCACUGGCUAAAGUAAUGGUUAUUAUUAUGAUAAUCUAAUCUUCCUUCUGGAUAAUUAUCAGAGGCUUUAUGAUACAUACUGGAGAUCCCCCGGGAGACGGCGAUGGUGGGAAGUCUAUUUAGGGUAGGGAAUUCGAGGAUGAAUUCUACAAAAGUUCUUUGUAACUAUUGUAGCAACACCAUGGCUGGAUAAUAAGCAUGCAAUAUUCGAUAAAGUUAUGAAGGAAAUGGGCGUGGUGCAGGUUUGUAACAUUACAAGUGAAACAACAACUAAGAAGCCAGCUAUUGUAGUUUCAACCUUAGCUUUUGUUAAAGAGUUAAGGACACCUUUUGAAGAUGUGGUGGAAAAGUUAAGAUCAUCCAACGAACUAAUUCAAAAAUUGGUUGCAGCAGCCUGCUCCAGUUUACACACUUUUUUUUUCAUUAUUUUGAAGGUCACAAUCUAACUAUUUUGAUCGACAUUAGUGUAUAAUGAGUGCUUCUUGCGGGCGCGUGUGGUUCCAAGACGAUGUGUAGCGAUAUAUUAGUAGUGGGAUGUUUAACUUCAUUUUCU